AACGAACGCUGGCGGCAUGCCUAACACAUGCAAGUCGAACGAACCCUUCGGGGUUAGUGGCGCACGGGUGCGUAACACGUGGAAUCUGCCCUUUGCUUCGGAAUAACAGUUAGAAAUGACUGCUAAUACCGGAUGAUGUCGUAAGACCAAAGAUUUAUCGGCAAAGGAUGAGCCCGCGUAGGAUUAGGUAGUUGGUGGGGUAAAAGGCCUACCAAGCCGACGAUCCUUAGCUGGUCUGAGAGGAUGAUCAGCCACACUGGGACUGAGACACGGCCCAGACUCCUACGGGAGGCAGCAGUGGGGAAUAUUGGACAAUGGGCGAAAGCCUGAUCCAGCAAUGCCGCGUGAGUGAUGAAGGCCUUCGGGUUGUAAAGGACUCUUUUACCAGGGAUGAUAAUGACAGUACCUGGAGAA
rnacentral:rRNA from 1 species